GUCAAACAAAUUAAGCCUUAAUUUAAUUGGAAUUAAAUUGAUAAUUACGAGUAAUUUUAUGAUGAAAUCGUUAUUCAAUUUGUGCAGAGGAAUGUAUUGUCCACUUCUUACGAGGAAAAUGGGAGAUCCAGGCCUCCAGGAUUAAAUUUGAUGAAAGAGCACCACUGAGCUAUUGCUACAUCAGGCUGCAAUGAAAAGGCAUUUUAUCAGCAAUCCGGACAAUUAUGCUACCUUCUUCACCCAAUCUUUGUUAGCCUGAAAUCUAGACUCAAACAACUAGUAAAAGACCAUGAAAACGCAACACCAUGAAAAAUUAUUUCCCAUCAGAUGUAUCUGAGAAAUAAUUUUUCUUAGAUAUUUGCCUCAUAAAGUGCAUACACAUGUUCAAACCAUAGGACCAAACUGAGAAUUAAAACUAGGGCUAGGGUUGACCACAGGCUAGUUCUGGUUUUCAGCCCAAUUGAAUCUGAAUUGGACCGAAAGGUGCCAGUUCCCCAUGAUUCUGAUUUGGUUCUGGUUCAAUACGGAUUGACGCAAUCCAAUGAUUGAAAUAAUUUUUGAAACUUUUUUCUUUAAAUUCACAGAUUGAACAAGAUUGGACUGCUGAACUGAAUUAACCGGUUCCGAUCCAGUCCAGUUUUAGGGGAGGAUCAGGAACGCUCCCUGUCUGGGUAGGAUCCAGAAACCAUUGAUUGGUCCCAGUCCCAGGUUUGAUCGAGCCAAUUUCGGGCUAAACCAAGCAACAGCUCUGCCAACGACGUAUUGGAUCAGGAGAAUUUUAGAACUUAAAACAAUGUCAUCAAAAUCUGGGUAAACAUUUCCACAAUUUUAUAAAGCCAGAAUAUGUUAUGCAUUGCAAGCAAUUUAAGGAAAUAAAGUCAUGUAUUUAGGAAAGCACAUCAUACAAAUGAGGCAUAGCAUCUGAUUUAAUAGUGAUGCACUUCUUAAAAUUUUGUGUACGUCUAGGUGAAAUGUAAAUGAAUGGCUAAUUUAACCUCAGCAUUUACAGGUGUUCAUGCAACACAAAUCAAGAUUGCCUUGUGAUAAAUGAUGCAGUAAAAGCUGAAACAGAACUUGAUGGGUAGUCCAUGCUUGUUAGUUUACUACUCAGAAAUCUGAAUCCUUUCCAUUUAAAGCUUAUGUGGCAGUAGUUUACAUUUUAGAUUACAUUCUAGGCCAACUAGCUUUAUGAGAAGCAUCAAGAAAUGAACUAUGUGAAAUAGGCUCGAUGCAAGAAACAAAUCUACCCCAAUGCAAGAACAUAAUUUGAAGCCCAAAGUUAAAAAGAAAGAGUGUUGCCACGUUUAUGAUCCUGUUUUAUUGCCUUCAAUAGUUAAAAUAAAUCCAAUACAUAACAUGAACUGGGCUCAAACCUAAUAAAAUGAUGUGAUUUUUAACUUUUGGUGUCACUCUUUUCCUUGUAAUGCCCUCAAAUCAGAAUGGUUCAACCUUAUAGUAUGUAUUUUAUUCUAUAGCAGGGAUUGUCUGUUCGUACACCCAGUGAUAAUUUAAGAAUGAUGUAUGAAAAAGUACUUACAGUUGAAAAGCUUAAAUGCAUAUGAGAAUCCAAUGUUAACAGAGAAGAAGCCAAUGAUCUUCCUAGCAUACUUGUAGUGCCAAAAAAUAAUUAAAAAAAGAAAGAGACUAAGGCUCUAUUUGUUUAACGGAAAACAUUUUCCUGGAAAAUAUUUUUUAUACUUUCGAGUGUUUGGGGCACUUAGGAAAAAACUAAAUCAUUUUAUGAACUUUA
rnacentral:misc_RNA from 1 species